ACAUGCAAGUCGAGGGGCAGCAUGGUCUUAGCUUGCUAAGGCCGAUGGCGACCGGCGCACGGGUGAGUAACACGUAUCCAACCUGCCGUCUACUCUUGGACAGCCUUCUGAAAGGAAGAUUAAUACAAGAUGGCAUCAUGAGUCCGCAUGUUCACAUGAUUAAAGGUAUUCCGGUAGACGAUGGGGAUGCGUUCCAUUAGAUAGUAGGCGGGGUAACGGCCCACCUAGUCUUCGAUGGAUAGGGGUUCUGAGAGGAAGGUCCCCCACAUUGGAACUGAGACACGGUCCAAACUCCUACGGGAGGCAGCAGUGAGGAAUAUUGGUCAAUGGGCGAGAGCCUGAACCAGCCAAGUAGCGUGAAGGAUGACUGCCCUAUGGGUUGUAAACUUCUUUUAUAAAGGAAUAAAGUCGGGUAUGCAUACCCGUUUGCAUGUACUUUAUGAAUAAGGAUCGGCUAACUCCGUGCCAGCAGCCGCGGUAAUACGGAGGAUCCGAGCGUUAUCCGGAUUUAUUGGGUUUAAAGGGAGCGUAGAUGGAUGUUUAAGUCAGUUGUGAAAGUUUGCGGCUCAACCGUAAAAUUGCAGUUGAUACUGGAUAUCUUGAGUGCAGUUGAGGCAGGCGGAAUUCGUGGUGUAGCGGUGAAAUGCUUAGAUAUCACGAAGAACUCCGAUUGCGAAGGCAGCCUGCUAAGCUGCAACUGACAUUGAGGCUCGAAAGUGUGGGUAUCAAACAGGAUUAGAUACCCUGGUAGUCCACACGGUAAACGAUGAAUACUCGCUGUUUGCGAUAUACAGCAAGCGGCCAAGCGAAAGCGUUAAGUAUUCCACCUGGGGAGUACGCCGGCAACGGUGAAACUCAGAGGAAUUGACGGGGGCCCGCACAAGCGGAGGAACAUGUGGUUUAAUU
rnacentral:rRNA from 1 species